CCUACGGGUGGCAGCAGUGAGGAAUAUUGGUCAAUGGACGAGAGUCUGAACCAGCCAAGUAGCGUGAAGGAUGACUGCCCUAUGGGUUGUAAACUUCUUUUAUAUGGGAAUAAAACAGGGUAUGCAUACCCUCUUGUAUGUACCAUAUGAAUAAGCAUCGGCUAACUCCGUGCCAGCAGCCGCGGUAAUACGGAGGAUCCGAGCGUUAUCCGGAUUUAUUGGGUUUAAAGGGAGCGUAGGUGGAUUGUUAAGUCAGUUGUUAAAGUUUGCGGCUCAACCGUAAAAGUGCAGUUGAAACUGGCAGGCUUGAGUACAGUAGAGGUGGGCGGAAUUCGUGGUGUAGCGGUGAAAUGCUUAGAUAUCACGAAGAACUCCGAUUGCGAAGGCAGCUCACUGGACUGCAACUGACACUGAUGCUCGAAAGUGUGGGUAUCAAACAGGAUUAGAUACCCCGGUAGUC
rnacentral:rRNA from 1 species